rnacentral:tRNA from 1 species
GGGCCGGUAGCUCAGUCCGGUAGAGCAGCGGACUUUUAAUCCGUUGGUCGGGAGUUCGAAUCUCCCCCGGCUCA